CGCGGCCUAUCAGCUUGUUGGUGAGGUAAUGGCUCACCAAGGCUUCGACGGGUAGCCGGCCUGAGAGGGCGACCGGCCAUACUGGGACUGAGAUACGGCCCAGACUCCUACGGGAGGCAGCAGUGGGGAAUAUUGCACAAUGGGCGCAAGCCUGAUGCAGCAACGCCGCGUGCGGGAUGACGGCCUUCGGGUUGUAAACCGCUUUCAGUAGGGACGAAGCUAACGUGACGGUACCUACAGAAGAAGGACCGGCUAACUACGUGCCAGCAGCCGCGGUGAUACGUAGGGUCCGAGCGUUGUCCGGAAUUAUUGGGCGUAAAGGGCUUGUAGGCGGUCCGUCGCGUCAGGAGUGAAAACUCGGGGCUUAACCCCGAGCCUGCUUUUGAUACGGGCGGACUAGAGGGAUGCAGGGGAGAACGGAAUUCCUGGUGGAGCGGUGGAAUACGCAGAUAUCAGGAGGAACACCGGUGGCGAAGGCGGUUCUCUGGGCAUCACCUGACGCUGAGAAGCGAAAGCGUGGGGAGCAAACAGGCUUAGAUACCCUGGUAGUCCACGCCGUAAACGGUGGGCACUAGGUGUGGGGGACAUUCCACGUUCUCCGUGCCGAAGCUAACGCAUUAAGUGCCCCGCCUGGGGAGUACGG
rnacentral:rRNA from 1 species